rnacentral:rRNA from 1 species
AUUGAACGCUGGCGGCAGGCCUAACACAUGCAAGUCGAGCGGAUGAAGGGAGCUUGCUCCUGGAUUCAGCGGCGGACGGGUGAGUAAUGCCUAGGAAUCUGCCUGGUAGUGGGGGAUAACGUCCGGAAACGGGCGCUAAUACCGCAUACAUCCUGAGGGAGAAAGUGGGGGAUCUUCGGACCUCACGCUAUCAGAUAAGCCUAGGUCGGAUUACCUAGUUGGUGGGGUAAAGGCCUACCAAGGCGACGAUCCGUAACUGGUCUGAGAGGAUGAUCAGUCACACUGGAACUGAGACACGGUCCAGACUCCUACGGGAGGCAGCAGUGGGGAAUAUUGGACAAUGGGCGAAAGCCUGAUCCAGCCAUGCCGCGUGUGUGAAGAAGGUCUUCGGAUUGUAAAGCACUUUAAGUUGGGAGGAAGGGCAGUAAGUUAAUACCUUGCUGUUUUGACGUUACCAACAGAAUAAGCACCGGCUAACUUCGUG